AAGGAGCACUUCUACCGAUCCCUUCGGGGUGAGGUCAGAGGCCAGAUCAUCAGCGAACGUCUGAUGCUGGUUAGCUCAUGGGUGGAACGUUGAUUAUUCGGCGUCUUGAGUCAUCUCAGGCUGUGAGUACUGUCCUUUCGGGGGCGUGGAAAGCUGAUCGGAGUGGUGAGGGAUGCCGGGCACGCUGUUGGGUGUCUGAGGGUAUGGCCGUAUGGCUGCCUUCAGUGCCGGCCCCAGUGCACUCGGACUUCUGGUUCGGGGUGAUGGGUGGUUGGCCGUUGUUUGAGAACUGCACAGUGGACGCGAGCAUCUGU
rnacentral:misc_RNA from 1 species